GAGCGCUACCUGCUCCCUCCGGCGGGCCGGGCGUCGUCCGCCGCGCCCCCGCUCAUCCGUCGCGCCAGGACCGCCCGCGCGAUACACGCGGUGCCGGCGGCGGAGCGCGCGGGCCGUAAAGAAGAGAUUGAUUGGAACAACUGAAACAGUGAAGAAAUGAGAAGAGAGCAUGGAAGAGUGGCAGAGGCCUCCGAGGCCAGGAAGAAGGGAGGCUCAUGAAGCUGUAAUUUGCAGCCUGUGUGGAACCAUCUGCCAGGGACUCUUAAGAGCUGAGUGCCUACAAACACACCUUUCUGCUGAAAAACUUCUCUCUCAGCUGUGAAAAAGUCAUCUCCACCUACUGACGUUUCUGUCUGUCUGCUCUUCAAAGACCUUUGAAGGAAUUAAUCAAAAGUGGCAUCUUGCUCCAUUUCCCAGUGGAAAUGUGAAUCCUAGAAACACUGAGAAGGUAUUUCUAAGCUUAGAACUAUAUAUCAAAUCAUCCUGUAUUCAGUUUUUGUAGGGUUUGGACUGGGGAAGGAGAGAGAGAAAUGUAUAUUUUGCUUUUUAGGAUUUCUCAGUCAUUCUGUAGAUUCACAGUUCCUUAAAACAAGACUUACAUCACAAGGCCUGCCAUCAGGAAGUCUACAAUUAGAAUGUCUACUAAAAAUUUUACCUUUAAUUACACUUAGAGUGAGUUAUUAAUUUGACUCUGGCCUUUCUCAGUUCUAAAGUGUUGUGUCUGUUCACUUCUUGUCAUCGUGUUUUCUAUGUUGCAGAUACUCAAAUAUUUUGAUAUGUCAUGUAGAGCGUAUAUUGUUUUCCAAACCAUUUUUAGAGAAAUGUCACAGAAUUUGUAAUGUUACUUCACAACACAACAUUAAAGUACUUCUUUCUGAUUCAA